AGGUUCUCCUCAGAAGGCUAGCUAAGCUAAGAAUAGAAAGGAAUGAAUAACAAAGGCUUGUGGCUUGGACAGAGAGUCUGAGCCAGCUGGCUGUGAUUGGCCAUUAAUUAGAAACAACCACAUAAGACCAAUCACGGAUGCACCUGUUGCAUUCCACAGCAGCAGAUAAUCAUUGUUUACAUUUUGUUCCUGAGGCCUCUCAGCUUCUCAGGAGGAAAAAUCCUAAGGAAAGGAUUUUCAUAAAAGAUGUCUGCGACAGAUCCCAGCCUGAUCCCAGCCUGAUCCAACCCUGAUCCCAUGGAGAUCUCCAGCUGCUGAACCCAGAGUUUUCCCUGACUGCAGCAUCCCUGCACAUCCCCUCCCCAUGGAUGCUCCAGGCUCCCAGUUUAGUGCUGGGACAGAGGGACAGGGGAGGACGUGCUGCUUGGCAUGGCACGCUCCACUCCCCCCGUGGCUGGAGCCUGUCACAGGGAAGAGCUGCCAGACGUGACACACACCACCCUGAAGGUGAAGGGAGAUGGGGAUGAUCCUCAGAGGUGUGGAAGAGAGGUGUGAGGUGCCUGGAGCAGG
rnacentral:lncRNA from 1 species